rnacentral:rRNA from 1 species
GAUUAAGUUAUUAAGGGCGCACGGUGGAUGCCUUGGCACUAGAAGCCGAUGAAGGACGUUACUAACGACGAUAUGCUUUGGGUAGCUGUAAGUAAGCGUUGAUCCAGAGAUUUCCGAAUGGGGGAACCCAGCAUGAGUUAUGUCAUGUUAUCGACAUGUGAAUUCAUAGCAUGUCAGAAGGCAGACCCGGAGAACUGAAACAUCUUAGUACCCGGAGGAAGAGAAAGAAAAAUCGAUUCCCUGAGUAGCGGCGAGCGAAACGGGAAGAGCCCAAACCAACAAGCUUGCUUGUUGGGGUUGUAGGACACUCUAUACGGAGUUACAAAAGAACAUGUUAGACGAAUCAUCUGGAAAGAUGAAUCAAAGAAGGUAAUAAUCCUGUAGUCGAAAACAUAUUCUCUCUUGAGUGGAUCCUGAGUACGACGG